AUUUUGAUUAAUGGUUAACUGCUUUGAUAAUAUCAUAUGCAGCUAUCGUGAAAUGUUUUUUUAUUUGUGAUUUAACUCCUGGAUUUAUUCUUCCAUUAAAUUAAUUAAUUUAAAUGAAAAUAAGAAAUCAUGGAUCAGGAAAAUUUCUCAACAAUUAAUUAAACGGUUUCUUUUUUCUUGCUGUGGCCAAUGAACCCUGAUGAAGCUUUUGAGAGCAUAAUUGUAUUCCAAAAUAAAAACAGGCCCUCGCUCGUUUGAUCCACAACAGAUCACCGCCGCCGACACAAGGCGUAAUUACCAUUUUAAUUCGGUUCCCACCGGCAAAAUUCAACCACACACAGCGUCGAGUUGAAUGGGAAUCAAAAUAAAAAACGAAACACAUCCUUGCUCGUCGCUCAGAUUGUGCAUGACAGGCCGGAAAGACUUUUUGAAACUCAUAUCUUUCCUCUCGCCUCCACUAAUUCCUUUUUUGAUCUCCGGCACUCUCGGAAUUGUGGCUCUUCUCUUUUAAGUUUAAUGACGUCAAAGCUCGACUGGUUCUUCAUACAACAUGUGUGUGAGUGCCGAGUAUAUUUCAUUCGCAGGACCGAAAAUCGUUGCGCUCGUGAUCUCCUUCUCCGCGUCUCGGUUUUUCCGCCGAGAGCGAGUUCAUGCACGUCUCAGCAAUUAGUCUGCGGUUUUUCAGGCGUGGUUUUAAUUUCGCGCAGCUUUUCGUGCAACAGCAGCACACCGGCUAAAUUGGCGUAAAGUGUGUUUUAAUUAAAUUGUCGGUCGUGUUAAUUAGGCACAUGAAUUAUUCUUUGUAUAGAGAAAUAAACAAUAUAAAAACAAACUAGGUUUGGCGUAUAAAAGCGGCAUCAGAGUAUAAUAUUAGUCAUUCGCUUUAAAUCCUCGUUUAUCACAAAAGGCGCUUAUUGUGAGUAAUACUGUUAUGUGGGCAGCAUAAUAAGGAAAUCAAGAUCCAGAGCCAAAUCAGGAAGUGGAGGAUAAGGGGUAAUGGGAAAACUGUAGAAAAUAUUUUAAAAUUAAAUUUUACUAAAGAUUCAGUGUUAUAACUUUACUAUAAUAUCGAUUUUUUUGUCGGAGCAUAAGCAGAGCAAGAUUGGAACUCCCCAGAAUAAAAUAUUGGCAGAACUCUCCUCUUUAGUUGAAAAAGUUGAGAUUUUGAAACUAUUCACCAUAUGAUUUCAUUAUCUGCCUGAAGUUAUUAAACAAAUAUGAUUAAAAAAGUAUAAUUUUCAUGUCUAAUUUUAAUAGUUAAAGCAAUUGAAUUUGCUUUUGUCUCUGCAUCGACACAUUUUUCAAGCGAGAGUGACUGGUUUUGACACCGCCUCAACUUCGGAAAAAGGAAGCGGCGGAGACUCCUUGAUAUUAUCAUUGAUUUUUAUAUAAUUCAUUAAAAUAAUUUGUCGCCGAUCAGCCUGCCGAGCAUGGCAAGCAAGAGAGAUGCAGACGGUGAAAAACAAAAAGUGGCGCCGCGAGAUUGUUCAUAUACUAGCACACAACAGCAGCUCUUGGAAUGAUAUUGCAGAGAUCGAGUGACGACUCGCUGCUGUGAUGCAACCGGCAUUAUUAUUUCUCUUUAUAUAGCACUCGCCAGUUUUCUCCUCGCCGCCGAUUAUGGCCUUAUUAAGAGAUGUUUCUCGCUCGCAGGCCUAGGGGUGAACAGCUCAUGUGCCCGACUCUGCCGCCGCGAGUAUUGUCCUCGUCACCUUCGUGACUAAAAAGGAUAAAACUCGGUGAGCUCUCCGCUGGCCCGAGUCGGAAAAAGGAAUUGCCGCGGCAGAGCAGCUUCUCUUUGCCCAUUUCUAGCGUUUAGUUCUUUUAAAAUCCUUUUGCGUUCAAACACAUUUUACGUUUUCUUCUUUAAACCAUCUUGGUAAAACUUAAAACUUUCAUUAUUUAAAUCAUUUUACUCUAAUCGUAUAGUAAUAAAAAAAAAACUAAAAAAACUUGCAGCUCAUUUAGUUUCUCUCGGUCUCUCCUUCUCUCCCAGAUUUUACAAACAUUAGAAUUAACCUAAAUAGUUGGGACUUUUUCGUGCAAGCGGGAUUUGAGCAAUUAUUCUGUAUCUAUAUAGAUUGUUGGAGUUGUAAACAAAUAUUUUUUCCAACAUGAGAUAUGAAAUCGUGCGCGAAAAUUGUUGACACCCAUUAAGAUGAAUGAUUCAUCAAGAUUUAAUUUUCAUCUCGGAAGUUCAUUGAUUUCUACUGCGAUUUAACUGAUUAGAGGACUUUGCUGCUGUGAUUGAUCUUGGGCAACAAUUCAAUAACAUCCUAUCCGUGCCAUCUCAUUAGUUGAAAAAGCACGCGCGCAAUUAUCGCGUCUGCAAAGUGUGAUGAGAGCAUUCCCCGCGCACUUUUUAUCAACACACCAACAGCUCAACCUUGGUUUAUCUCCCUCGACAUGCUUGAGUUAUAUGCACUUGCUGAGUCAAUUAUAAAAUAUUUGCACUCGGUCAUUAGCACCGGUUCAAGGAAUUUUAUCAAUCAUCCAAGCACAUCAUUUAUUUUCCGUUUGCCUAUUCAACUGUUUUACACUUUAUUCUCAAUUUAUAUAAAAUACUAAAAAAGAUAUUUGUGUUGUACAACACAAAAUUUAAUUUUGUAAUAUUUCUUACUUUGAAAAUUAUGUCAAAUUUUAAAACUCGUUUUUUAACAUCAAAAGUAUUCUGCCGCGGCCUACAUUCAAAUUUAUGACACGCAAAUAAGAGUUAGCAUUAUGAUAAGGUGUAUUAAUACUCAAAUGGGACACGCCAUAGCGUCGCGCAAUAUUUAAUUUGGCGUAUUAUCUCACCCUGUGAGAAUCAUUUGGGCACAGCAGCAUGUAGCACCGGAUGGGAGGAACGCACAAUCGCGCAGGCAGUUGUAGAGAGAGAGCGGACAAUUUAAUCAUCAAUGCUCCAUGCGUGGACGCGCCUCCACUUUCCAACCCGCGCGCAACGAAAAAGCAGUCCAAAGUCCGAAAACUAAAACACCCAUCGAGCUGGAAUGAAAUUAAUUGGACAAAAGGAAAGGGGGGCAGGAAGCUGGUCGUCGGUUCCGUUUAAUUGGCGUGCAGGCGUCGAUUUUUAUAAUCGCCGAGUGCGAAUAUCAGACAUGAGGAGAAUCAGAACGAGCACUCUAUUAUUAAAUGAUAAAAAUAACUGAGGAUUUUUUCUGCGAAAAUAGUGUUGGCAAUCAAAGCUUUGUGGCUGGCAAUAAUGUUUAUUCCAUGCACUAUCAAUCUUUCAUUAAUUUAUAAUUAUAAAAUUUUUAUUUUUAUGGAGUGUUUGAGGUUAAUUGAUUGUUGUGAGGCAAACGUAUUUCAAUUGUGAGACUGGCUGCGUUUUGCUCAUUACCUUUGUUCUAACGCGGAUGGGUGUACCAAACAAUACUUCCACACGUUCAUGUGCUGCAAUUUAAAAAGUUACAUUAUUUCAUACAAUGGCUCUCCAACGCUACGGAUGGCUUUGUAUGUUAUUCACCGCGGUCUAUUUGGCCAUAUAAGGAGUGUUUUGCGCGGUUAUAGUGUUACCGGAGUAAACAGCGAGAUAAUGCGAAAAUAAUACACACAUACCUACCCGCUCGAAAAGUGUGCAAAACUUUGAAAGCGCUGGAAGCGAAAUGGAGAAACUAGACUAAAGUAGCUUCUUGUGUCUUGGUAUACGCACAAGUUAUAAACUUUUAUAAAGCUUGGCAAAAGAGCGAGUCGGGUAGAAAUUAAAUCCGCACACACACACUCUUGCAAAUAAAAAAGAAGCAAGCUGAAGCCAUCCAAAAUUGAAUUCAAAUCAUAUUUUUAACAAAUUGUUAUUUCAAAAACAAAUUUGUAUUUGCUGCAAAAAAUAUGUAAUGUAUACACUUAAAAAAUCUAGAAUAUAAUUAAGUUCAUUCUUGAUCCAUAAUCUAAUCUGUAUCUAGAAAAAAUAUUACGUCAUUCAGUUAUUCAUUUCAUCUUUGAGGAAAUUUAAAUACUCUCAGUAAUUGAUCAUGAAAAUAAGAAAUUGAAAUUUAAAAUAAUUAAACCAAAAGAGUAGUACACUUGUCAGACUUUUUUGAAAGUGAAAACUUCCACAUUUUGCAUGGCACACGCGUUUUGUUUGGAGAGAUACUAUCUUCACACAAAUCACGUCGGUUGGUUUUUCUCUGAAAAAGGGCAAAAUAAUGGCUGUACCCACUCGACUGCAUUUGCAUAAACGAAAAGAAGUGUCCCCGCGCACACAAUGCCCGAAUGACUGCGAGAGACAAAUAAAGCAACAGCGAGCUUAAUUGAAUGACAGCGGCAGGAUGUCCAUUUUCAGAUCUCCAAACAAACUGACAGAAAACUUGCCUGAGGAGCGCCGGCUAUAUAAAUAUGGUGUGGUGACACACACUCGCGAAAUAUUGUCGAACAGAAUAAUAAAUAUUUGUAUCAAUUAUUGUCUCUGCGAGUAAGGUUAGCCCAUGGCCAUAGCUUUUCAUAUAAAGGAAACUUAACUUCAUUCCGAGCAAGCAACGCGCGCGCUUUUCCGAAUCUCCCGCCGACCUUUCCCUGAUGGCGUGGACCCUUCAGCCAACCUGAGAAGACCGAUCGGCGCGCGCCACCUCAGGGCCCAAUCAGACCCACGGUCGAGCCUCGAAGCCGGCUCUCCGUGCCUGAGAGCCUCAGACGAGCGACGCCCGAAACGCAGACAACACCCUGUCCUAUCUUCAGCCAAUUCGGUUAAUGGCGACCACGUUUUACCAAGUUCCCAAUCAAUCGGUAAUGAUCGCUUUUCCACUGUUUCCUCAGCUUAGUAAGAUCAGACUAGCUUUUCCGAAUCCUAUUUGGCCAUAUUUUGUAUUUUGUUCUCUCUUUAUUUAAUAAUAACUUUAACUUUAAUUCUUAACUUUAAUUAAUUGCUUUUAAUUAUAAACUCAAACCUAGUCAAAACUAAAGUCAUAAUAAAUAAAAGUAACUUUAGUCCAAGCCAUUUAAGGAGUGCUCGGGCUAUUUAAUUAAAGGAUUAAAGAGAUAUUAAGAGAUAAGUUUGAAGUCACAUGGGGGAUGAAAUGCACAAGGGGGCCAAGGGGGACACAGGAGAAGCCUAUUAAAUAUCAAACUCCAGUCUGCAAAUUAAGGCGGCGCUCGGCUCCAGCUCCGCUCUUCAUUAGUUUUAGGUGUUCAAUGAUUAAUACUAAUUAGCCCCUGUCGUGGUGACACGACAGAUUUGGUGUCAGGGUGCGGGGUGAUUUUUUUUUCCAAUUAAUCACCUCCGGUACGGCCUCACAUUCCUCGUCCACCAGCGGCGCAAACCAGAAAGGAACCUCAACGAACACAGGAAGGCCAGUGACCAACAAGCGUCCAUAGAAAAGGCAUCCACCCAGCGGCGUUGGCUUCUGCAGGGCCAGCGCUUAGCGGAUUCAGUGUCCAGCAUCGAGACAAAACGAGACGAUCAUAGGCGAACGCUCACCUCUUCGAGAUUGCGCCGCGACGUCAUUCUCGGCGCUGCACGGUUUUAGAAGAUGAGCUGUUACUGAUAAGUAUACCCGACUUUUACUUGGAAACUUUAAUUCAAGCAAAAGUAAAGGCAGACUGUCAUUGGGAAAGGGUAGCAGUCAAGUUAAAAUUAAGGGAAAGCUCUACGGUGUGAGCAUUUAAUUACAAAAGCUGUACAAAAGCUUGGAUAAAAGGUGCCAAUUUAUUUUAUUGUUGUGGCUAUUUAAAACUUUUGAAGGAAUUGCACAUUUUAAUUUUGUAUUAUAUAAGUGUAUAAAAAAAUAACAACUUUCAUGAUUGUUUCACCAUUGUAUAUAAAUGUACUCUGAAAACAAAUGCAAAGCAAAACCUCCGCCAUAAGGCUGCACCUGAAUGGCAAUCGAAAAGUGACAUCUUUACACAAUUGUUGUGAAUCCCUCCCUUUUGCCAGUACUCCAGUUUUCAGCAGAUGGGAGCAUUUCAUUGCUCAGGUGUACAUCACUCACCGACAGCAGACCUCUCCAGCCUCUGCCCAGCCAGGACUGCAGAUGUCUCGCUGCCAACAGCAUCAGAAUUCGCCGUCCACUCCGUGGCAGAUAAAAGCCACCUUGCUCUGCGAGUUGUCCGACUCCACCUUCAGCUGGUCUGCAAGAUGGGUCGACAAACGACCAGUCAUGGCGCCCUCGACGGAACUUCAGCACUGACUAGGACUGACACAAGGCCAGUGACAGUCCAAGUUGGUCUCACCACUACUGCAAGAAAUAAUCAGUCAGCAUUGUCGACAAAAGCAGACAAGAGCAACACACACCUGCGCAGCACAAGUACCACCGUCCACUGUCCGGACCACAAGACCCACUUCCAGUGGCAGCCCAAGCGCAACAUCCAGUUCCAUCAGUGGACCAAGUUGGAAGCCAGCCGCUCCGCAAGAAGAAACACAACUAGCCCUCGGCAGGAGAAGAACCGACAUCUUCGUCUCACUCUGAAAUUUUUUUUUAAUGAAGUUAAAUUCAAAUUGGGAAAAUUGUAAAAUUUAAAAUUGAAAAUAUUAUAACAUGUUUAGAUUUAAGUCCAACAGAAGAAAAUGAAACAGAAUGUUGAUUAAUUGAAAUCGUAAAUUAAAAUGUGUUCUAAAAUGUUUAAAAAUGUGUGUCAAACCGAGCUGUUUUGUCCACGGGAAAAUUUUUUUAAACUAAAAUGAAACGAAAAUUUUAAUUGAAAAAAUUGUUAAAUAAUCUAAAAACAAAAUGUGCAGCCACAACAAUGAAAUAAUUAAUUUUCCUCCCAUUAGUUAGAAAACAUCAUCGGGAAGUAUUGUAAAUGAAUUAUUUUUAUGCUCGACAUGCAUGAAGAGAAAUGUAAUUAUUUUAAUUUUCUUACAAUUAGUUUUAAAUUACUUGCACUGGAAUUGACUAAACUCACCACUAUUAUGUAACUGCUGUUGAAAUUCCUCGCAAAAUAUCUCCGCAGCUUCGCAAGAAUCGCACUGUGCCUGUGCACAGUUCUUCAAGACCGGGAAAUCCGCUUGUUUUCGCACCAUCAUCAUUCAAGUCCGCUCGCCAACCAAGACAAGUGCUACGAACAAAGAUAAUCCAAUUUUCAAGCAAAACAACCGAAAAUCUCACCUAAAUCAGCAGCAAAAGCCCAAGUUGUUGACAUUUGUGAAGUGAAAGUGCAAGUGACCUUCUCCAUGCACCAGUCACGUGACUCCAAGCUCGAAUCCCAUUCGCCAGCCUGCAAAGUUCCAGCCAACCAGAAACGCGACUCUCGCAAGCUGAGAGACAACAACAGAACACAGCUGGCCACGUAAACAAACAAACGAGCAUGGCCAUCAGACACACCAAGUCCAGUGACUCCAGCCGAGGCCGUGGCCUCUGGCCGCCGCACAGCAUAAGAACUUCUAAACAAGUCAACCAAUCAUUCCGAGCUCCAAAACGUGAAAGUUUGCCAAAAACACACCUGAACACCAAUUCCAACCUCUGAGAAGCCAAGCAGAGAUGACCUAUCUCUCGCAAACACCAACUGCCUGCCUUGGCCCAGCGCAACCACGAGCAGUACGACACCAGAGGCGCCCUGCCAAGCCCCAAACCACCACACCGGACACCAAGCCACCACCAGUCUUCAGCUUGAUGGACGCGAGGGCGCGUCCAAGUUGAAGGGGGGGCAGUCUGUGGUGACACACACUCGCGAAAUAUUGUCGAACAGAAUAAUAAAUAUUUGUAUCAAUUAUUGUCUCUGCGAGUAAGGUUAGCCCAUGGCCAUAGCUUUUCAUAUAAAGGAAACUUAACUUCAUUCCGAGCAAGCAACGCGCGCGCUUUUCCGAAUCUCCCGCCGACCUUUCCCUGAUGGCGUGGACCCUUCAGCCAACCUGAGAAGACCGAUCGGCGCGCGCCACCUCAGGGCCCAAUCAGACCCACGGUCGAGCCUCGAAGCCGGCUCUCCGUGCCUGAGAGCCUCAGACGAGCGACGCCCGAAACGCAGACAACACCCUGUCCUAUCUUCAGCCAAUUCGGUUAAUGGCGACCACGUUUUACCAAGUUCCCAAUCAAUCGGUAAUGAUCGCUUUUCCACUGUUUCCUCAGCUUAGUAAGAUCAGACUAGCUUUUCCGAAUCCUAUUUGGCCAUAUUUUGUAUUUUGUUCUCUCUUUAUUUAAUAAUAACUUUAACUUUAAUUCUUAACUUUAA